rnacentral:rRNA from 1 species
AUUGAACGCUGGCGGAAUGCUUUACACAUGCAAGUCGAACGGCAGCACGGGGGCAACCCUGGUGGCGAGUGGCGAACGGGUGAGUAACACAUCGGAACGUGCCCAGUCGUGGGGGAUAACGUAGCGAAAGCUACGCUAAUACCGCAUACGAACUCUGGUUGAAAGCGGGGGACUCGCAAGGGCCUCGCGCGAUUGGAGCGGCCGAUGGCAGAUUAGGUAGUUGGUGGGGUAAAGGCCUACCAAGCCGACGAUCUGUAGCUGGUCUGAGAGGACGACCAGCCACACUGGGACUGAGACACGGCCAGACUCCUACGGGAGGCAGCAGUGGGGAAUUUUGGACAAUGGGCGCAAGCCUGAUCCAGCCAUUCCGCGUGCAGGAUGAAGGCCC